AAGUUUAGACAAUACUAUGUACAAUCAAGCACAAAAAGUACACAGUGUAUGAUCUGAAUAUAGUAAACGUGUAUGGCAAGGCUAGUUCAAAUGAAUGUAACAACAGGUCUCUAAUACAGGUUGACUGUAAAUGUAUGGAAGUGUAUUUGAAAAAUAGCAAUUUUCAAACAUUGGCAAAGAUUUUUUUGAAAUGUGUUGUUAUUAUUAACAUUAAAAGGAACAACAGAAAAGGGUUGUUAUUAUUAACAUUAAAAGGAACUGCCAAAGUACAAAAUAUUUAAGGUUUUUUUUUAAAGAUGAGGAUUUUCAGUUCUUAUAUACAAAUAUAUAAACAAAGAAGAAAACGUCAUAACGGAUUGACCUUAUAUUUGGUACAUGUGCUAUCUACAGUUUUGGCAUUCUCAUAGGCAUCUAAUACAAUGGGCUGUCCCUUCAUUCAUAGAAGGACAAGAAGAGACAAGACAAGAAGCGGAGUGGUUGGUGGAGAAGGUAGAAAGACAUGAUAGAUUGUGAGAGAGUGUGAGAGAGUGUGAAAGAGAGUGAAUGAAAAAAAUGAAA